rnacentral:lncRNA from 1 species
GGGAUACAGGGUUGUCAAUAUUAGAAAACAACCCCGUAACAUGGUUUUAUUUGUCAAUAUUACGAAACAACCCUGUAAGAGGUGUCUAUUUGUCAAUAUGAGAAAACAACCCGGUAAGAGGGGUAUAUUGGUGAAUAUUAGAAAACAACCCGUGAAAGGGGUAUGUUUGUCAAUAUUAGAGAACAACCCCGUAAGUGCAGUAUAUCUUUC